AUAUCAAUAAGCGGAGGAAAAGAAACCAACAGGGAUUGCCUCAGUAACGGCGAGUGAAGCGGCAACAGCUCAAAUUUGAAAUCUGGCCUUCUGGUCCGAAUUGUAAUUUGUAGAGGACGCUUUUGGUGCGGUACUUUCCGAGUUCCCUGGAACGGGACGCCUUAGAGGGUGAGAGCCCCGUACGGUUGGAUACCUAGCCUCUGUAUAGCUCCUUCGACGAGUCGAGUAGUUUGGGAAUGCUGCUCUAAAUGGGAGGUAAAUUUCUUCUAAAGCUAAAUACCGGCCAGAGACCGAUAGCGCACAAGUAGAGUGAUCGAAAGAUGAAAAGUACUUUGAAAAGAGGGUUAAAUAGCACGUGAAAUUGUUGAAAGGGAAGCGCUUAUGACCAGACCUUUGCCUGGCGGAUCAUCCGGUGUUCUCACCGGUGCACUUCGCCAGGUCGAGGCCAGCGUCGAUUUUUGGAGGGGGAUAAAGGCUUCGGGAAUGUGACUCCUCCGGGAGUGUUAUAGCCCGUUGCGUAAUACCCUUCCGGGGAUCGAGGUUCGCGCUCUGCAAGGACGCUGGCGUAAUGGUCAUCAGUGACCCGUCUUGAAACACGGACCAAGGAGUCGAACAUUUAUGCGAGUGUUUGGGUAUCAAACCCUCACGCGUAAUGAAAGUGAACGGAGGUGAGAGCCCUUACGGGUGCAUCAUCGACCGAUCCUGAUGUCUUCGGAUGGAUUUGAGUAAGAGCAUAACUGUUCGGACCCGAAAGAUGGUGAACUAUGCGUGGAUAGGGUGAAGCCAGAGGAAACUCUGGUGGAGGCUCGCAGCGGUUCUGACGUGCAAAUCGAUCGUCAAAUCUGCGCAUGGGGGCGAAAGACUAAUCG
rnacentral:rRNA from 1 species